ensembl:lncRNA
GGGUGGGCUUGCGCGCCUGCGCACUGGCACCACGGUCUACAGGCCCCUGCGGCUUGCCGUCCUUUCCCGGCAUGCAAAGCGGCGUCACGAUGGCGGCGGCGGAGGCCGCGUCUCGGAGCUCGGACAUGUUCGAUGAGAUCGUGAUGGCUGAUGAGAGGUUUCAUGGUGAGGGGUAUCAGGAGGGCUAUGCUGAAGGCACUCACCUUGGGGUUGUUGAGGGACGGAGGUUUCAGAAAGUUAAUUACCUACAGAAGGAACAGUAGCAUUGGCAUUAAUCCUUUUUGAAGUGAAAAAGGUAAAUUGCUAAAUUCUGAAAGGGUGGUUAUCAUAAAAUUUUGGGUUGCCUUUGGGUGUGAUACAGAGACGUAGAGUGAUGAAAUAUUUUCCUACUUAGCUCUACAACUAUGUAAUUCCAAGAUAAGAAUGUUAAACAGCAGCCUCCAAAGCUGGAUAGUUUUAUAUAAAAUGGUCCUAGACAAACCAUAAUAGAGAAGUGCUCUAAUCUGCUUAUAUUGGGGAAGCUCCAGAGGAUGGUAAGAUUAUAGACAGUGAGUCACAUUAAAAGAGAGAAAGAGGGACUUGGGUAAUCUUAGACCUUUCAGCCUAUUUUGUGUAUUGGGCAAAAUUAUUAUACUUAUCUGAUAAUUGCCUUGCUUGAUAGAGUAUUAAAUUAAGACAUCAUAAUUAAAGUGUGGGUUUUUUUGGGCACGUUCCUCAGGCAAGCUUAGACAUAGCAUCUGCUUGGGCUCAAGCAGAAGAUUGGCACUGCUGCCCUGUGGCAUGACAGUGCUAAUUAAACUGAGAAGUCUGUGGCUAAGUGUCCAGGGGCCAGGUGUUUUUUAUCGUAGUAUCUUGCAUUUACAGCAGUGGUGACUGCUAUACCUGUCAGUUCUUUUCAUUUGCCUUGGAUCUUUGAGCCGUUUUGGGACAUGCAAAUUAAAUUUUGGUCAGCAAAAAAUUAAUUGGAACUCACUUUCAAAUAUGCUUGAACUCUUAAUGGGAUGUUAAGUCCCUAAUCCGUGUUUGGGCCUAAAAAGGAACCUUGUGCUUCUUUCUGUUUCCAUGCUACCCUCUUGAGUUAAGCUGGUAAAAUUGUUUAUGUAUUAACUCAGAAAAAAGUGUAAUUUCCUCUUUGGUUGACUUAAUAUCUCCCUCAGUCCAGCUUGUGCACCUUUUUGUAGAGCUGUACGAGGGCUGCUUGAAAUGACAGCGUUUCAAGAAUGAAUACUUACCAAAGCAUCUUAAAUAGGUUGUUUUCUAAAU